ACAGUCACUGACAUUAGAUACCCGUGUAGUCCAGGGUGUAAACGCUGCAGACUUGGUGUUGGAGGCCCUUUGGGGGCAUUCAGUGCCGGAGAGAAGUUGUUAAGUCUGCUACUUGGGGAGUACGUCCGCAAGGAUGAAACUUAAAGGAAUUGGCGGGGGAGCACCGCAACGGGAGGAGCGUGCGGUUUAAUUGGAUUCAACACCGUAAAACUCACCAGGGAAGACUGUUACAUGAAGGCCGAGAUGAAGACUCUGCUAGAUUUUCAG
rnacentral:rRNA from 1 species